GGGGGCGUACCGGCUUCGACGUGGGUGCUGAAACAUAAGGAGCAUACCGGGGCGCAUGAGGACCUCGUUAAAAACGUGCAUUUUGUAAUUGGCAACGAUUACGCACUUGCAGCUUAAUUAGCUCGCACGAUCAACCUUGAGGUGAUUCCGCUCUUGGAUUGAUCGUCAUUUAGGGAUCUCGGCUUCGUUGGUUAUCUCCAGCGACGAAGCUUAAAUAAAGCUGGGGGUGGGGUCUUACGAAUUUUGUUUCUGGAAGUCGUAAGAUCAACUUAAAACAGAAACUAAGUAUGUAGCGCCUUAUCGCGGAUCACUUGCGGACGGGGGUUCAAUUCCCCCCGCCUCCACCA
rnacentral:tmRNA from 1 species